rnacentral:tRNA from 1 species
GUAGCUCAGUUGGUAGAGCAUCCCGAUUUUAUCGGGAGGGCCCCUGGGUUCGAAAUCUGUCUUAU